CAGGCCUAACACAUGCAAGUCGAACGAUACCUUUCGGGGUAUAGUGGCGCACGGGUGCGUAACGCGUGGGAAUCUGCCCUGGGGUUCGGGAUAACCGUUGGAAACGACGGCUAAUACCGGAUGAUGAUGAAAAUCCAAAGAUUUAUCGCCCUGGGAUGAGCCCGCGUAGGAUUAGCUAGUUGGUGGGGUAAAGGCCUACCAAGGCGACGAUCCGUAGCUGGUCUGAGAGGAUGAUCAGCCACACUGGGACUGAGACACGGCCCAGACUCCUACGGGAGGCAGCAGUGGGGAAUAUUGGACAAUGGGCGAAAGCCUGAUCCAGCAAUGCCGCGUGAGUGAUGAAGGCCCUAGGGUUGUAAAGCUAUUUUACCCGGGAAGAUAAUGACUGGA
rnacentral:rRNA from 1 species